CAGACUGUUGGUCGAAAUAAAGAAGCAGCUGAUGGAGGAAGGCAGAGAGUACUGGUAGCAGAGGAGGUGGCAUUCUGGGAGGAUGGCAGCUAUGAGGCGGUGUCAGGAUGGACCCCAAGUUCCUCCAACCAGGACCUCAGUGACAUCAGGACUGCAUUACAGGAAGAGACGUCAGGUCCACGCUACAGGAGAGAUGUUGGGCCUGUCCUGAACGCAGCAUAAUGUUUG